UACGGGGGGGGCAAGCGUUGUUCGGAAUUACUGGGCGUAAAGGGCUCGUAGGUGGCCAACUAAGUCGGACGUGAAAUCCCUCGGCUUAACCGGGGAACUGCGUCCGAUACUGGUUGGCUUGAGUUUGGGAGAGGGAUGCGGAAUUCCAGGUGUAGCGGUGAAAUGCGUAGAUAUCUGGAGGAACACCGGUGGCGAAGGCGGCAUCCUGGACCGACACUGACGCUGAGGAGCGAAAGCCAGGGGAGCAAACGGG
rnacentral:rRNA from 1 species